rnacentral:lncRNA from 1 species
CCACUUAGCGGAACAUUGAUAUCACGAGCAGUUCAGACCCUGGUAGGGUAUCGUCGUUACAUACUUCGGGUGUGUAUAUGAUGGUAUUCUGCGAAAGGUUAUUUAUGCUGCGUUUCUCUCAGCUUUACCCUGGCCUAGACUACACCCGUGAGUGGGGAAGGGUUAUUCAUUACAGGUACCGUUGGUGACUUGGUUCUGUUGGUGACUCUAGUUCAGACAACAGUGUGAUCAGUUUGACCAUAAGUUGGAUUUAUGUUCUGAUUUUGACUGAAGCUUCGACCUAGUAUCAGAGUUUGCACAACCAGCCAGUCCAGUCUGCAUCAUGUGCAUCAUAGCAUAUUUAUUUUUCAAAAGAAACGCAUUGAAAAAAAAU